rnacentral:rRNA from 1 species
UACUCGGAUAACCGUAGUAACACUAGAGCUAAUACGUGCGUAAAUCCCGACUUUUUGAAGGGACGUAUUUAUUAGAUUUAUGGCCAGCCGGGCUUGCCCGACCAGCGGUGAAUCAUGGUAACUUGACGGAUUGCAUGGCCUUCGUGCCGGCGACGUGUCAUUCAAGUUUCUGCCCCAUCAGGUUUCGACUGUAGUGUAUUGGACUACAGUGCCUAUAACGGGUAGCGGAGGAUUAGGGUUCGAUUCCGGAGAGGGAGCCUGAGAAACGGCUACCACAUCCAAGGAAGGCAGCAGGCGCGCAAAUUACCCAAUCCCAAUUCAGGGAGGUAGUGACAAGAAAUAGCAAUGCGGGGCGGAUUCGCUCUGCAAUUGGAAUGAGAACAAUGUAAACCACUUAACGAGUAUCAAUUGGAGGGCAAGUCUGGUGCCAGCAGCCGCGGUAAUUCCAGCUCCAAUAGCGUAUAUGUAAGUUGUUGCGAUUAAAAAGCCCGUAGCUGAACCUCGGGUAACCCUGCCGGUCCGCAUCAUGUGAGUACUGUCGUGGGUUGCCUUUCUGGUAAGACCGUAUCACGGGGUUAAUUCACCGGGAACGAGGCUUGCCAAGGUUACUUUGAGUAAAAUAGAGUGUUCAAAGCAAGCAUGCGCUAUGAAUACACUAGCAUGGGAUAACACGACAUGACCGAUGGUCUAUCUUGUUGGCCUGUAGAUCUGUUGGUAAUGGCUAAUAGGGACGGUCGGGGGCAUUCGUAUUUCGCUGUCAGAGGUGAAAUUCUUGGAUUUGCGAAAGACGAACUACUGCGAAAGCAUUUGCCAAGGACGCUUUCAUUAGUCAAGGACGAAAGUCGGGGGAUCGAAGACGAUUAGAUACCGUCGUAGUCUCGACCAUAAACGAUGCCAAUUAGGGAUUGGAGGG